rnacentral:rRNA from 1 species
CCUACGGGUGGCAGCAGUGAGGAAUAUUGGUCAAUGGACGAGAGUCUGAACCAGCCAAGUAGCGUGAAGGAUGACUGCCCUAUGGGUUGUAAACUUCUUUUAUCAAGGAAUAAAACGAGGCACGUGUGCCUUUUUGUAUGUACUUUAUGAAUAAGGAUCGGCUAACUCCGUGCCAGCAGCCGCGGUAAUACGGAGGAUCCGAGCGUUAUCCGGAUUUAUUGGGUUUAAAGGGAGCGUAGAUGGGUUGUUAAGUCAGUGGUGAAAGUUUGCGGCUCAACCGUAAAAUUGCAAUUGAUACUGGCAGUCUUGAGUACAGUUGAGGUAGGCGGAAUUCGUGGUGUAGCGGUGAAAUGCUUAGAUAUCACGAAGAACCCCGAUUGCGAAGGCAGCUUACUAAACUGUGACUGACAUUGAUGCUCGAAAGUGUGGGUAUCAAACAGGAUUAGAUACCCUGGUAGUC